GCGAAAACUUUACAAUGCUGGCAACAGCGAUAAGGGAACCUCGAGUGCCAGGUUACAAAUCUGGCUGUCGAGAUGCCUAAAAAGCAUUUCAUAGCAAGGGCCGGGCGAGACCGGUGCCAGCCGCCGCGGUAACACCGGCGGCUCGAGUGGUAACCGUUAUUAUUGGGCCUAAAGGGUCUGUAGCCGGCCGGAUAAGUCUCUUGAGAAAUCUGGCAGCUUAACUGUCAGGCUUUCAGGAGAUACUGUCUGGCUCGAGGCCGGGAGAGGUGAGAGGUACUUCAGGGGUAGGGGUGAAAUCUUGUAAUCCUUGAAGGACCACCAGUGGCGAAGGCGUCUCACCAGAACGGACCUGACGGCAAGGGACGAAAGCUAGGGGCACGAACC
rnacentral:rRNA from 1 species